GUGCUUCCUUAGGCAGCACAUAUCAUAAACCUGAAAUAAUGUAGAUAGGGAUUGGCAUGGCAUCUGCACAAAGGUGACACACAAAUUCAUGAAGUGUUCUUUAUUUUU